AUUGAACGCUGGCGGCAUGACUUACACAUGCAAGUCGAACGGUAACAGGUCUUCGGAUGCUGACGAGUGGCGAACGGGUGAGUAAUACAUCGGAACGUGCCCGAUCGUGGGGGAUAACGAAGCGAAAGCUUUGCUAAUACCGCAUAAGAUCCAAGGAUGAAAGCAGGGGACCGCAAGGUCUUGCGCGAACGGAGCGGCCGAUGGCAGAUUAGGGAGUUGGUGGGAUAAAAGCUUACCAAGCCGACGAUCUGUAGCUGGUCUGAGAGGACGACCAGCCACACUGGGACUGAGACACGGCCCAGACUCCUACGGGAGGCAGCAGUGGGGAAUUUUGGACAAUGGGCGAAAGCCUGAUCCAGCCAUGCCGCGUGCAGGAUGAAGGCCUUCGGGUUGUAAACUGCUUUUGUACGGAACGAAAAGACUCUGGUUAAUACCUGGGGUCCAUGACGGUACCGUAAGAAUAAGCACCGGCUAACUACGUGCCAGCCGCCGCCGUAACAC
rnacentral:rRNA from 1 species